ensembl:lncRNA novel transcript
UAAAUCCCUCCUCUCCACGCUCAAGCAUCUCUGGGUCUCCUUUCCAGGCCGGACAGUAGCGCACGCAGGGACUGUGCCACCAGACAGAGGGGCGGCUCAGCUCCCAGAUGCAGUAGCCACGAUCACUUGGGCAAGUUACAAAGCCACUCUGAGACUGCGUCCUUCCCACAAAAAUGAAGGUCCCACAAAACUCAUCACAAGGAUGCAUCCUGAGAGCAGCUGCUUUGGAGGAAGGUUCUCCCUGACCUGCUCGUUCUUCCAUGGGAUUCAUCUUCCCCACACCAUGGUGCUGGAAUGUUCUGCUUGACUUACGGCGAAAGAGUUGUCUUAUUUGUUGUUGUUGUUGUUGUCAUCUGGUUUUUGUGUGUGUGUCAUUUUCGCCAUCUGUCCUGAUUGCCCUACAGGCCACAAGCCACAGACCUGCUUCAUCCUUGUUCUUCUCUCCUAGCUCUUUUUGUUGCCUUAGGAGUUUCUGUAACCCC